GGAAAGGUGUCCGAGUGGUUGAAGGUAUACGUUUGGAAGACGUUUUUCAUGAGAAUGAACAAGGGUUCGAAUCCCUUCCUUUCCG
rnacentral:tRNA from 1 species